UACGUAGGGUGCGAGCGUGUCCGGAUUUAUUGGGCGUAAAGAGCUUGUAGGCGGCUCGUCACGUCGGGGUGUGAAAACUCGGGGCUCAACCCCGAGCUUGCGGUCGAUACGGGCAGGCUCGAGUUCGGUAGGGGAGACUGGAAUUCCUGGUGUAGCGGUGGAAUGCGCAGAUAUCAGGAGGAACACCGGUGGCGAAGGCGGGUCUCUGGGCAGUAACUGACGCUGAGGAGCGAAAGCGUGGGGAGCGAACAGG
rnacentral:rRNA from 1 species